rnacentral:lncRNA from 1 species
UAGUAUUCUAAGCCUUCUUGGCUUUUCCAUGUUGUUUUAAAGUGGAUCUGGCCUCUCGCAGGAGUAGGGUUUGAUAAAACUUGUUCAGGUUCAUAAUGAAAUAUGUUUAACUGACACUGAAAUUUUCUUUUCUUGUUUUUUUUUAGUACUGAACUAGACGUCGAGGACUUUGAUGCAUUCCUGGAAAGAGUAAAAGCAAGAUCUCUUGGAAGCAGUCCUUUUGUUUCCCCAACUGCAACAGUGCCAAAUGGUAAUGUGCCUUGGGAAGAUGCCUUAGCUCAAGGUGUGGAAGCGACAAAGAUAGCUGGAAAGUCACUUGACGCACUACAUGGUUUUUCAUCAUCUGUUGAUCUCGUAUCAGUUAGCGAGAGAUAGUAGUUAAUAGUAAUUUUGUAAAAUUAACUUUUGACUUUAUAAAAAAUGUUGGGUAUUCACUGUCAGAACAUCAAGUUUGUUGAAAAUUAAGCCGAUUUGUAGACUCAUUCAACAUCAGUUGUGAACAUUUUCUUGUAACAUUACCCCUGAUGUAAUACAAGACUUUACUGUACAUGUAUUUUGAUUGACAAGGGUUUGGUUUAUCAUCAGGUAGGAUCUGUGUCAAAAAUGUUCCUUGAAAGAUGCCAAAUGUGAAUGCUGUUUGCAACUAAAAAUAAUCAUAAAAAACAAUGUAAUUCUUUACAUUUAUUUAUAACAACAUUAUUACAAACAUUCAUGGUGCUUUCCAUUCAUUCAAGCUAAAAUUCCAGAAUUUUCCAAACAGGGGUACCCGGUAAUUGGUAAACUAAAGGAGAUUUCCCUGGAAAGUUUCUGGAAAACUUGAAAGUUGUUGGAUUUCUGAAAUGUAAACCAUUCAACUGAAAAUUCCAGAAACUCCAGGAAGAAAAUCAAAUGGAACAGAAAUUCCCAGUAAACAUUUUUUGAAAAUUUGAGCAAACCUUAUGAGGUUGUCCUCUUUUCUAGAAAUUCCAGAGAAUGCACUUCCAAGACCAUUUGCGAUCAUAAAUAUUUCGGCAAAUUCAAUGCCAAUUUUUCUGCUUUAAUGGAAAGCACCCUAAAGUUCUAGUAACUAACUUAAUUGUAUACAAAGUAAUGCAGUGUUGUUAGUUGUAUGAUAAAGACUCUUACUUGUUAGAAGUAUGUGGCCAUAUUUUUGUCUUCAAGGCAGAGAUAUUAUAGAAAAUGAUAAAGGAAAAAGAGUUUAUUGCAUUUAUGGUUAAUAAUAAUAAGUUGUAUAUUUAAGAUAACCCACCGACCUUCCGUCAGUUACUUAAUGUAAAAAUCAUAGACUUAGAUUCACUUUUAAAAAGGCUAAUUUGGACAUCUUAAGUUCUCAUCUUCUUUUAUUACUGAUAUCAUUACUUAAAAACUUUGCAAUAAGAGAUUUUCCAAAUCAAAGCCAUCAGUAUGCUAAUGUUGGCAAUCAUACAUGUGGCUACAGUACUACAGUAUCAAAUACUUCUUUUUCAAAGUUUUAUUUAUGUUUUGUGGAGCCAAGUGGUUUGAAAGCUGCAUCACUCUAAUAAGGAUCAAAAGUAGAUCAAGGUUUCAGUGACAUUUCAUUCUGUAAGAGUGUUUUUUUUUUUUGUUUUUUUGUUUUUCUUAUUUCUAAUGUUCUGAAGAAUUUAUUAACCAGAAACCUCCAUGGAGGUUUACAAAACUGAAUUAAAAUUUAUGCCUAUCCUAAAUUAGCUUAAUGGAACUUUGAACAGUCAGGCCAGGAUAUUACUUUGUAAAUCUUAUAUAUUACUGAUAAAUGGCCAGGAAAAACAUUUUUUCUUAAAAAAUUAUUUCCUGAUGCACUUCAUUGAUAAAAGCAUUACCAAGUCAACAAGUCAACAAGGAGUGGAAUUCAUUGUUGAGUUUACAACUUCUAUAUUUUAGGAAAGUUUCUUUAGUGUGUCAUCAAGUACACAUUUUCAAUGUUAACUGUACCCAGAUGCAAAUACAACUCUUUCACUGAGUUUGACAAAUCUAAAAUAUAGUUUGUGUGAAACCAAACUGGAUUUCCUGACAAGUGGUUUGUUAGUCAAUGUGGCAGUUUUCUUCUCAAUUAAUGAAAUUAAGGUAAGGACUGCAGCAGUAAUUAAUGCAUCAUUGAAUACAAUAAAUAGAACCAAGGUGUAAAGAAAAGUUCAGUUUUUGAGCUUGGCCUUCAGGCAAGCUGUAACUAUAUGAUGUACAUGUACAGCCCAAAAACUUUGCUCCUUUUCUUUAAGCCUUAUCUUACCAGUCUGGGCAAUCCAGUUAACAUUAAAUUAAAUAAACAUGAAUAAUUCCUCUGAACAGUACUUCUGAAAUUUGAAUUUUCUUGCAAAAUGUUUUGCAAAAACUGUCAUUUUCCUAUCAGGCAAGCAAGGGACAAAAUCCACUUGCCUGACGACAAAAUCCACAAGCCCUUGAUUAAUGGAGAAUAACUUUCUUGGCACAUUGAGAACAGAAUUAUGUAAAUGUGUGAACUAAAUAGAAAGUUUGUAAUGGAUUGUACAACUGAUUGUCUGAGGAAAUCCAGCAGUUUUUAUAAAAUAUAUUUUUGUAGUUCAAGUCACAUACUAAGUCUUUUCAGUAGAACUGUACUGUAUAAUCCUUAAUUAAAACUAAAUAUAUUACCUUACUGAAAAAGUUAUGAGAAUGGCAAACUACCAGUGGGUAAAGUUAGUGUAAGAAAAGAUUUUAUUAAAAAUGAUUAUAGAAAAAAGAUA